rnacentral:tRNA from 1 species
ACAAUGUGGUGUAUGAGCACAUAAAUUUUUGGUUUUUAAGGUGAAGGUUCAAUUCCUUUUUUUGU